GACGAACGCUGGCGGCGUGCUUAACACAUGCAAGUCGAACGGAAAGGCCCUGCUUUUGUGGGGUGCUCGAGUGGCGAACGGGUGAGUAACACGUGAGUAACCUGCCCUUGACUUUGGGAUAACUUCAGGAAACUGGGGCUAAUACCGGAUAGGAGCUCCUGCUGCAUGGUGGGGGUUGGAAAGUUUCGGCAGUUGGGGAUGGACUCGCGGCUUAUCAGCUUGUUGGUGGGGUAGUGGCUUACCAAGGCUUUGACGGGUAGCCGGCCUGAGAGGGUGACCGGCCACAUUGGGACUGAGAUACGGCCCAGACUCCUACGGGAGGCAGCAGUGGGGAAUAUUGCACAAUGGGCGGAAGCCUGAUGCAGCAACGCCGCAUGCGGGAUGACGGCCUUCGGGUUGUAAACCGCUUUCGCCUGUGACGAAGCGUGAGUGACGGUAAUGGGUAAAGAAGCACCGGCUAACUACGUG
rnacentral:rRNA from 1 species